UACAGAGGGUGCAAGCGUUAAUCGGAAUUACUGGGCGUAAAGCGUGCGUAGUCGGCCAUUUAAGUCGGGUGUGAAAUCCCCGGGCUCAACCUGGGAACUGCGUCCGAUACUGGAAGGCUUGAAUCCGGGAGAGGGAUGCGGAAUUCCAGGUGUAGCGGUGAAAUGCGUAGAUAUCUGGAGGAACACCGGUGGCGAAGGCGGCAUCCUGGACCGGCAUUGACGCUGAGGCGCGAAAGCUAGGGGAGCAAACGGG
rnacentral:rRNA from 1 species